rnacentral:rRNA from 1 species
GACGAACGCUGGCGGCGCGCCUAACACAUGCAAGUCGAACGAGCGAGAGAGAGCUUGCUUUCUUGAGCGAGUGGCGAACGGGUGAGUAACGCGUGAGGAACCUGCCUCAAAGAGGGGGACAACAGUUGGGAACGACUGCUAAUACCGCAUAAGCCCACGGCUCGGCAUCGAGCAGAGGGAAAAGGAGCAAUCCGCUUUGAGAUGGCCUCGCGUCCGAUUAGCUAGUUGGUGAGGUAACGGCCCACCAAGGCGACGAUCGGUAGCCGGACUGAGAGGUUGAACGGCCACAUUGGGACUGAGACACGGCCCAGACUCCUACGGGAGGCAGCAGUGGGGAAUAUUGCACAAUGGGGGAAACCCUGAUGCAGCGACGCCGCGUGGAGGAAGAAGGUCUUCGGAUUGUAAACUCCUGUUGUUGAGGAAGAUAAUGACGGUACUCAACAAGGAAGUGACGGCUAACUACGUGCCAGCAGCCGCGGUAAAACGUAGGUCACAAGCGUUGUCCGGAAUUACUGGGUGUAAAGGGAGCGCAGGCGGGAAGACAAGUUGGAAGUGAAAUCCAUGGGCUCAACCCAUGAACUGCUUUCAAAACUGUUUUUCUUGAGUAGUGCAGAGGUAGGCGGAAUUCCCGGUGUAGCGGUGGAAUGCGUAGAUAUCGGGAGGAACACCAGUGGCGAAGGCGGCCUACUGGGCACCGACUGACGCUGAGGCUCGAAAGUGUGGGUAGCAAACAGGAUUAGAUACCCUGGUAGUCCACACUGUAAACGAUGAUUACUAGGUGUGGGAGGAAUGACCCCCUCAGUGCCGCAGUUAACACAAUAAGUAAUCCACCUGGGGAGUACGACCGCAAGGUUGAAACUCAAAGGAAUUGACGGGGGCCCGCACAAGCAGUGGAGUAUGUGGUUUAAUUUGACGCAACGCGAAGAACCUUACCAAGUCUUGACAUCCUGCGACGGUGCUGGAAACAGUACUUUCCUUCGGGACGCAGAGACAGGUGGUGCAUGGUUGUCGUCAGCUCGUGUCGUGAGAUGUUGGGUUAAGUCCCGCAACGAGCGCAACCCUUAUGGUCAGUUACUACGCAAGAGGACUCUGGCCAGACUGCCGUUGACAAAACGGAGGAAGGUGGGGAGGACGUCAAAUCAUCAUGCCCUAUAUGACUUGGGCUACACACGUACUACAAUGGCGUUAAACAAAGAGAAGCAAGACCGCGAGGUGGAGCAAAACUCAGAAACAACGUCCCAGUUCGGACUGCAGGCUGCAACUCGCCUGCACGAAGUCGGAAUUGCUAGUAAUCGCAGAUCAGCAUGCUGCGGUGAA